GACGUAGGGCGCGAGCGUUGUCCGGAUUUAUUGGGCGUAAAGAGCUCGUAGGUGGCGUGUCGCGUCUGCCGUGAAAGCCCAUGGCUUAACUGUGGGUCUGCGGUGGAUACGGGCAGGCUGGAGGCUGGUAGGGGCAAGCGGAAUUCCUGGUGUAGCGGUGAAAUGCGCAGAUAUCAGGAGGAACACCGGUGGCGAAGGCGGCUUGCUGGGCCAGUUCUGACGCUGAGGAGCGAAGGCGUGGGGAGCGAACGGG
rnacentral:rRNA from 1 species